rnacentral:rRNA from 1 species
AUGAGGCAUGCAAGUCGAACGGUUUCAAGUGCAAACUUGAGUCAGUGGCGGAAGGGUUAGUAAUGCACAGGUAACGUGCCAUAACCCUGGGGAUAACAUUCAGAAAUGAUUGCUAAUACCGAAUGUCGUCAUUUUCGGCAUCGAAAAUUGAUGAAAGCGGGGGACUCCGAGAGGAACCUUGCGGGAUAUGAGCGGCCUGUGUGGCAUCAGCUUGUUGGUAAGGUAAUGGCUUACCAAGGCUGAGACGCCUAGGCGGACUGGGAGGUCGAUCGCCAACACUGGGACUGAA